AAUAGAGGUAAAGCGCCUGAACUCAAGCCGGUGUUCUGGUCUGACGGCUUGAGUUGACGAGGAAGGGGUUUAUCGAGUUAUUCGGCGGGUACCCCUCGGUUGACACGACCGUUAAAGGCAGCCAAAACCGGGCAGUGAUGCGCGGGACAAAUGCUGCCAGGUGGAAAAA
rfam:Thermincola sp. JR, complete genome.